rnacentral:ncRNA from 1 species
CAACACCCGUCACACUAUGAGAGCUGGACAUACCCGAAAUCGUUACCUUAAUUGCAAGGAGGGAGAUACCGAAGAUAGGACUAGUGACUGAAGUAAAGUCGUAACAAGAUAACCGUACUGGAAGGUGUGACUG